GGGGGCCUACGGGAGGCAGCAGUGGGGAAUUUUGGACAAUGGGGGAAACCCUGAUCCAGCAAUGCCGCGUGUGCGAAGAAGGCCUUCGGGUUGUAAAGCACUUUUGUCAGGGAAGAAAUCCUUUGGGCUAAUACCCUAGGGGGAUGACGU
rnacentral:rRNA from 1 species